rnacentral:rRNA from 1 species
AUGAACGGCUACCGCAACCUGGCCUCGUCCCCUCCGGCGCCCAGCGGCGGGGAGCCGGAGCCGGAGCCGGCCCCGCCCCCGGCCGCGGCGAAGGAGGGCAAGUGGGAGGGCGCGGCGGUCGGCGCGGCGGCCAUGGCCAGGAACCUCUCGUCCGCCUCCCAGAGGUUCGCGGCCGUGGAGCGGAGCAAGUCCACCGGCGGCCACCGCGGCGGCGGCGGCUUCCAGGCGGCCGUGAGGCGGGCCUUCUCCAUGCGGAGGCAGCCGGCGUCCGGCCUCUCGGAGGGGUACUGGCGGAUCCACGACGGCCUGGACGACGCCGAGGACGAGGCAGAGGCGCCCGAGGAGGUCGACGCGCAGAAGAAGACUCAGGUGGCGGAGGCCGCGGUGCCGGGAGACGCCGCGGCGAGCAACGACGAGAUCGGCCAGGAGGAGACGAAGAAGAAGAAGAAGAAGAGGGGCCACAUCUUCAAGGCGUGCAAGAAGCUUCUUGGGUUCAAACAUGUCUAG